AGCCUGAUGCAGCCAUGCCGCGUGUGUGAAGAAGGCCUUCGGGUUGUAAAGCACUUUCAGCAGUGAGGAAGGCGGGUACGUUAAUAGCGUGCUCGUUUGACGUUAGCUGCAGAAGAAGCACCGGCUAACUCCGUGCCAGCAGCCGCGGUAAUACGGAGGGUGCGAGCGUUAAUCGGAAUUACUGGGCGUAAAGCGCAUGCAGGUGGUUCGUUAAGUCAGAUGUGAAAGCCCGGGGCUCAACCUCGGAACUGCAUUUGAAACUGGCGGACUAGAGUACUGUAGAGGGGGGUAGAAUUUCAGGUGUAGCGGUGAAAUGCGUAGAGAUCUGAAGGAAUACCGGUGGCGAAGGCGGCCCCCUGGACAGAUACUGACACUCAGAUGCGAAAGCGUGGGGAGCAAACAGGAUUAGAUACCCUGGUAGUCCACGCCGUAAACGAUGUCUACUUGGAGGUUGUGGCCUUGAGCCGUGGCUUUCGGAGCUAACGCGUUAAGUAGACCGCCUGGGGAG
rnacentral:rRNA from 1 species